GUCUUCAUGUCAUAAGCAUGACAUGGUAAUUAGUCAUAUCAUGUCCACUGCAAAGGCCUUUUUCACAUUGCAGUGCAAUUAAGGAAAAGCUCAGGUGUUACUAAUAACAUUAACAAUGAUUCUGUUCAAGUGUCCCAGUAAGUCAGGACAGUGAGCCAGCAUGAACAAUACCAGAACACUAAAAUAAGUAAUCUAAAGCAACUAAAUGGAAUCCAGCAGUCAAUAAUUUUAUUAUUUACUGUGCUUCUCCUACUGUGACAUGUCAAAAUGUUCUCUGUUCAGCUUUCACCCAGCUGGACAUGCACUUGAGUGUGGAAGAAUCCAAAACGACCAGAGAAAGAGGUGGAAAGGAUGCCACUGGAUUGAUUUCAAACCUACGCUCUGACCUUUGGCCAGGAAUGCCUCAGUGUUACUUCGGGCUCAACAGACUCGUUCCUACUGAUGUAAUCAACCUUCCUCUCAAACACACUCUCUCUCCAGUAUAAUGCCCAAAUGCUUUGAUUAUCAGUGCUGAAUAAUUUAAUGUCUCAUUCAUUCAUCUGUGUGAAACUGUCAGCUAAGUACCCUCCUUCUGAUCCUUUUAUUGUCCAGAUAUUUGACAGGACAGCAGUACUUUGUAAUAUGCAAAUUUUCCUUCUAAUUAAAAACUACAGAAGUUGAUUUCAUUGAUCAGCACACAACCAGAGACACCGCUAGAAAUGUUGUGUACCUUGAUAACAGUUUUCACAUAAUAAAUAUCUGUUGAGCUCUGGCCCCCCUGAAACAUUUAGGGCCCCUUUCCUAACGGCCUUGCAGUGUAAUGUACUUUGUGUACUUUACUCGUUUUAUAUAAAUUUGGAGACAGCAACAGUGUAUUUCCCCUGUUUUAGCUUCCCUUCAUUGGCUCGCACUUACUUUUAGAACUGAUUUUGAACUUGUUUUGUUAAUAUUGAUCUCAGGUUAAGUAGCUCCAAAUCUCCCUUGAAAACCUACUUUUAUAAAAAAAAGUUUUCUAUUAAGUGAUCAUUCUAUGUGCUUCAGUUUAUUAUUUUCCCUCAUUUUAUGUGUGAUUUUAUUGUUGCUUGUGUUACCUGAUGUUUUACUCAUACUUACUGAUGCUUUUUCUUGGUUGCUGUCACUUGUGCAGCACCUUGUAACAUUGUUAAGAAAGGUGAUAUAUAAAUAAAGAUUAUUCUUAUUAGUAAUAUUACUGUAUGUACUGUAUGCCUCCCCAUUUAAGGACAUUUUUAUUGUCCUUUGUCUAUAUGGUCUAUAUUUUCUCCUUUAUAUUGUACUAAUUAAAUUUGAAUAUGUUUUGAAUUUAUUGUAUUGUACUGUAUCUACAGUAAUUGUAUUAUAUUUUGUAUCUGUAUCUGUAUUCUAAUUUAUUGUUUGGUACAUUUAAUUUAUAUCAAAUCAUCAUCCAGUUGUGUGAUUAUGUGAUGAUAUACAUUAUGAUGAAGUCUGUUGAAGUUAUUCUGCAGUAAUUAUGACCAGUACCGUCAUCUUUUUCCAUCAAUAAAAGGUGUUAUUAGUUCAAAGUUGAUAUAAAAAAGUAGGGAUGACCUAUUCAUCCAGUGUGCCACAGGUCAUGCCAUACUUCCUAGUACGUUAUCUGUACAUGAUCUGCAAGAGAUACUGGGUUUAUCGGAAUUGGCGUUAUAUAAAUAAAAUUGAAUUGAAUAGAUUUGAAGAAACUCCCAACUGGUAACCACCUUAGAGGAGGAAGACAGUCAACAUCAGCAGACAAACACUGACACCCACUGGCUGCUCGAUCACAUUAACAUUUACUGUAGUCAGUGUUGUGCUUCAAUCUGAAUGGCCUUCAUGUUCAAGAGUUCAGUGAUGCAAAGAAACUAGGUACAUUUACUCAAGUAGUGUACUUAACAAUUGUGAGAUAACUUGUACUUUAUUUUAAUAUUGCACUUCUUACGUAAGUUACAUUCUUAAGUAAGAUGUUGAAUGCAGGACAUUUUUGUAAUGAAGCAUUUAAUAUUUAAUUUUAUUUAUUUAUUAGAUUUUUAAAAAUGUACUCAAGUCAAACUGCUUGUUUGAAUAAAGGUUUGAAUGUGA